rnacentral:rRNA from 1 species
GAUGAACGCUGGCGGCGUGCCUAAUACAUGCAAGUAGAACGCUGAAGGAGGAGCUUGCUCUUCUGGAUGAGUUGCGAACGGGUGAGUAACGCGUAGGUAACCUGCCUGGUAGCGGGGGAUAACUAUUGGAAACGAUAGCUAAUACCGCAUGACAACAGUUAUUGCAUGAUAACUGUUUAAAAGGGGCAACUGCUCCACUACCAGAUGGACCUGCGUUGUAUUAGCUAGUUGGUGAGGUAACGGCUCACCAAGGCGACGAUACAUAGCCGACCCGAGAGGGUGAUGGGCCACACUGGGGCUGGGACACGGCCCUGAGUGCUGCGGGAGGCAGGAGUAGGGAGUCUGGGGGAAUGGACGGAAGUAUGACCGAGCGACGCGGCAGGAGUGAAGAAGGGUGUCGGAUCGUAUGGAUCUGGUGUAUGGGAAGAACGGGUGUGAGAGUGGAAAGGGCACGCUGUGACGGUAUCUUACCAGAAUGGGACGGCUAACUACGUG